UCGAACCUGGGCUCAGUUCAGAUGAAGCAUUUGGCCAUGAAUCUUGAUGCUUCACCAAAUCAGUAGACUAUUCUUUUCCAUUUAAAGUGCCUUGUGCGUUUUGGUGAGAACUCCAGUCUCCUGUAUGAAAAUGCAUACUCUAGAUGUCAUUGUUUUCCAUUUUUCCCAGGUGAACCAAGUGAAGUGAAAGCCGGCACCUCCAGGAUCAAACCAUCUGAUCUGCUAGUGCUCCUGGUGCUGCUUUUUGCUUGUUUUGGAUAUAUCUGGGCACCGUGAGAUGUUGCCUCGGAGAGGAUGCUGCACCAUCCGAGGCUGUCUGAUUGAAACCGGAGUACCAGGAGGAAACCCACGCAGGCACGGGGAGCACAUGCAAACUCCACACAGAGAGGCCCUGGCUGACGGGGAUCCGAACCCAGGACCUCCUUGCUGUGAGGCGGCAGUGCUACCCACUGCACCACCCGUGCCACCAUGUUGGAGAACCUGCCACAGUUAUUCUGCAGACUUUGGUUGGCUCCUUGCUUCUGAUC